GUGGGCUUGCUACGGUGGGGGGACCCCGACGAGACGCGCCGUACCGGGUUUCCGCAAAGACGACGCGCC
rnacentral:ncRNA from 1 species